GACCGCGCCCGGUGGCUUAGUGGUUAUAGCGUUCACCUCAGAUGCGAAAGGUCGUGGGUUCGAACCCAGGCCGAGUCA